rnacentral:rRNA from 1 species
GAUGAACGCUGGCGGCGUGCCUAAUACAUGCAAGUCGAGCGAACGGACGAGAAGCUUGCUUCUCUGAUGUUAGCGGCGGACGGGUGAGUAACACGUGGAUAACCUACCUAUAAUACUGGGAUAACUUCGGGAAACCGGAGCUAAUACCGGAUAAUAUUUUGAACCGCAUGGUUCAAAAGUGAAAGACGGUCUUGCUGUCACUUAUAGGUGGAUCCGCGCUGCAUUAGCUAGUUGGUAAGGUAACGGCUUACCAAGGCAACGAUGCAUAGCCGACCUGAGAGGGUGAUCGGCCACACUGGAACUGAGACACGGUCCAGACUCCUACGGGAGGCAGCAGUAGGGAAUAUUCCGCAAUGGGCGAAAGCCUGACGGAGCAACGCCGAGUGAGUGAUGAAGGUCUUCGGAUCGUAAAACUCUGUUAUUAGGGAAGAACAUAUGUGUAAGUAACUGUGCACAUCUUGACGGUACCUAAUCAGAAAGCCACGGCUAACUACGUG